rnacentral:rRNA from 1 species
GACGAGCGCUGGCGGCGUGCUUAACACAUGCAAGUCGAACGGUGAAGCGCCUUCCUUUUUGGUGGGUGUGGAUGAGUGGCGAACGGGUGAGUAACACGUGAGUAACCUGCCCCCUUCUUCUGGAUAACCGCAUGAAAGUGUGGCUAAUACGGGAUAUUCUGGGUCUGUCGCAUGAUGGGUCUGGGAAAGAUAUUGUUUCGGUGGGGGAUGGGCUCGCGGCCUAUCAGCUUGUUGGUGGGGUGAUGGCCUACCAAGGCGGUGACGGGUAGCCGGCCUGAGAGGGUGGACGGUCACACUGGGACUGAGACACGGCCCAGACCCCUACGGGAGGCAGCAGUGGGGAAUAUUGCACAAUGGGCGCAAGCCUGAUGCAGCGACGCCGCGUGAGGGAUGGAGGCCUUCGGGUUGUGAACCUCUUUCGCCAGUGAAGCAGGCCUGCCUCGUUUGUGGGUGGGUUGACGGUAGCUGGAUAAGAAGCGCCGGCUAACUACGUG